CGCUGACGUCGCUGCGGAGUUCAGUUCGCGUUCGGACGUUGGCUGGAGAGCUUGCUCUGUUCUCUGGUCCCUGGGAACGGGACCCUCGCCGGCUUUGGUUCUUGGCCGCAGAGGAAGGUGCCCGCUAGGCCUCUCUCGCCCUUGUGAGCCUUUCAUUGAUUUUAAGUUCCUAGACGCCGUUGCAUUUGCGGACUGAGAAGGAAGUCAUGUCCUCGGCCGCCAUGUCCAAGUACGUGAACGACAUGUGGCCCGGCUCUCCGCAGGAGAAAGCCUCGCCGUCCGGCUCGGGCUCGGGCCGCUCCAGCCGCCUGUCGUCGCGCUCCCGCAGCCGCUCUUCGUCCCGCAGCUCCAGCCGCUCGUCCUCGCGCAGCCGUAGCCGGCCGCGGAGGAGCAGACGGUCGCGGUCCCGCUCCCGGUCCCGCAGGCGCCACCAGCGCAAGUACAGGCGCUACUCGCGCUCGUACUCCCGCAGCCGCUCGCGGUCCCGCAGCCACCGCCGCUACCGCGAUGGCCGCUACAAGCGGCCGCGGAGGUACUACAAGUCGCCGUCGCCCUACCGCUCCCGGAGCAGAUCGCGCUCCCGCGGGAGGUCGCAUCACCGGUGGUCGUACUACGCCAUCACGCGAGGGCGGCGCUACUACGGCUUCGGCCGAACGGUGUACCCGGAGGAUCGGCCCCGGUGGAGGGAGAGAUCCAGAACCAGGUCGCGCAGCAGGAGCGGAACCCCUUUUCGCCUGAGCGAGAAAGAUCGAAUGGAGCUGCUAGAAAUAGCAAAAGCCAACGCAGCGAAAGCUCUGGGAACAGCCAACUUUGACUUGCCAGCAAGUCUUCGAGCCAAGGAGACAAGCCAGGGAACUGUUUCCAGCAGUGGGCCAAAGAUGGAGGUAAGUCCACUCAGAAGACUGCUGCUGCCGGCAGCUUUAUUAUCCCUUGUCAGUGUACACAACCCUCCUGCGAUGUGUUUAUAGCAUUUGUCCAGAGCAAAUCCGUAAUCUGACAAAUAUCAGUCUCCGCAGGAAAUUUCUUUUGACACUUGGUUUUUUUCCACAACAGUAAAAACAGUAUAUUGUUGGUAAUACUUUUUCUCCCUCUAGUCUUUAGAGACUGGAGUGUUCUCUCAGUAGUUUUCAUGUACACCAUUAUGUUCCCAAGUCUGUGCUCAGCAUACAGUAUAGUUUAUCUGCUUUAUUUCUGUCUUAUAGAAAUCAUGAAUGUGGUCUCCAGACAGUGAUGAAGAAAAUCUGUUGAUGUUUUGAGAAAUUACAGAAGAAGAGGCCUGCUUCCCUUGCAGAUAAGUUUAUUACAAUUCUCCAGAACUACAGAGAAUGUGUAUUGGCACAUUGCAGUGUAUUUAUAAGUUCAUUUUUAUAUGAAAGCUGGAUCUAAAAAUUAAUAAUUUGGGUUGGGAUGUAAAUCCGUUGGUAGAGAAUCUUGUCUAGGGUUCCUGGGCUUAGUUCCCAGCACUGUGUAAACUGGGUUUAGUACCCAGCCCCUGUGAUCCCAGCACUUGGGAGGCUGUCCUUAGACAGCUAGGGGAUAGAUACCAGAGGCUUGGUCUCAGAAAAGUGCUUUAUAAAAAUGUAAGGUACAAGUUAGUGCUGACAGUAUGAUGAAGGUGGCUGGUUUGUCUAUUUAUUGCUGAGAUCUCAGGGUCUGCCAAGUAUUUGCUCAGGCAAGUACCUAAGAGGGGCUCCUUGAUGAGUGAAUUAAAUGCCUCAGUUCUUUGGACAAAGAAUUUUUUAUUAUACUUACUCAAAAAUGAGUUGUGUCUACAACAGGAAUCAGGCAUUCAUGGGAACUAUGCUUCCUAAGUCAAUCCUGCUAAGUGGAAAACAGCAUUUUGUUGAUUAGCUCCUUAAACUGUGACCAUAGAGUGGAACUUGGUUUAUCUACAGCUGCAUUUGUAUACGCUGGGCUUUUUUUAAAUAUACAAUAUUUUGAAAAUUAAAGCUAUGUUUAAAAUUCUCUUCCUCUUUAGCAUUCAGAAAAGCAGACUGAAGAUGGAACUAAAAAUCCCAAUGAAAAGUCUUCUACACAAAGAAACAUAGCCUUCAGCUCAAAUAAUUCUGUAGCAAAGCCACUGCAGAAAACAACAAAAGCUGCUGUUGAAGAGAAGUCUUCGGGAUCUCCAAAAA